rnacentral:rRNA from 1 species
UUGAACGCUGGCGGAAUGCUUUACACAUGCAAGUCGAACGGCAGCACGGGAGCUUGCUCCUGGUGGCGAGUGGCGAACGGGUGAGUAAUGCGUCGGAACGUACCGGGUAAUGGGGGAUAACGCAGCGAAAGCUGUGCUAAUACCGCAUACGCCCUGAGGGGGAAAGUGGGGGAUCGCAAGACCUCACGUUAUUCGAGCGGCCGACGUCUGAUUAGCUAGUUGGUGGGGUAAAGGCUCACCAAGGCGACGAUCAGUAGCGGGUCUGAGAGGAUGAUCCGUCACACUGGAACUGAGACACGGUCCAGACUCCUACGGGAGGCAGCAGUGGGGAAUCUUGGACAAUGGGAGCAACCCUGAUCCAGCCAUUCCGCGUGAGUGAAGGAGGCCUUCGGGUUGUAAAGCUCUUUCAGCCGGAACGAAACGGUACGCUCUAACAUAGCGUGCUAAUGGCGGUACCGGCAGAAGAAGCACCGGCUAACUA